UCUCUGGUGAUCCAGUAGCUAAGACUCUAUGCUCCCAACUCAGGGGGCCCAGGUUCGAUCCCUGGUCAGGGAA
rfam:Ovis aries breed Texel chromosome 11, whole genome shotgun sequence.